AGAGGCCUGCACUUGAAGCUCCGCCUCCGCGCGGGGCCACGCCCCGCUCUUCACAAGCCUCUCCCAGGAUUUCUGGCGCUCGAGGCCCUUCCCUGUCCUGUGCGCUCUCUCCUCUCCUGCCUCUUGGCUGGAUACCGAAUUUCCUCAAUGUGUGUCAGCACAUGAUACGUGGCCUUGACGUUUUCCUUCCCAGACACAAUCCUGUGCAGCAACUAGUUGAAAACAGAAAGCGAAGGUCUAGGGAGCUUGAAGAAACAUCUCUGCUCUCCAGUUGUGCACAGCGAGUUAAUGACAGAGAUGCGUGGCUGUGAGAAACUGAGUGAUAAGUUAUUUCUCCACUGAUUCCAUCCUCAGGACUGCCUCCCAAUAAAAUGGCUGAGUAGUGUUGCAUGGCUGAAAUCACAGCACUUAGGAGCCCGAGGCAGGCAGGUUGUGAACUUGGAGCUGGACAGCUACCUAAGGAAGACAGCAUGUUGAAAACAAAGACCCCACUCUACCCCCAAAUCACACUCUACCAGAGCAGCUAAUCUUGCUCACAUUAAAACCAUUUCUUUAAAGUUGAUCUAUCACAUGAGGGGUCCCUGCUCCCUGCAGGCAGUCAAGGAACCAGGAAGAGAGAAGAAGGCAAGAAACUAGACGUCAGUGAGCCA